UACGGAGGGGGCGAACGUUAUUCGGAUUUACUGGGCGUAAAGCGACUGUAGGCGGUCUUGCAAGCCAGAUGUGAAAUCCCCGGGCUUAACCUGGGAAUUGCAUUUGGAACUGCAUCACUAGAGUUAUGGAGAGGUAAGUGGAAUUUCCAGUGUAGAGGUGAAAUUCGUAGAUAUUGGAAGGAACACCAGAGGCGAAGGCGACUUACUGGCCAUAUACUGACGCUGAGAGUCGAAAGCGUGGGGAGCAAACAGG
rnacentral:rRNA from 1 species